rnacentral:siRNA from 1 species
GGAAACUAAUCGCGCCUAGGCUUC